rnacentral:tRNA from 1 species
GCUUAUAUAGCUCAGUAGGCAGAGCACUUCCUUGGUAAGGAAGAGGUCACCGGUUCGAUUCCGGUUAUAAGCUCCA